rnacentral:rRNA from 1 species
UUUGAAUUGUAAUUUUGAAAUGUAUUGCCAAUGGAGGCGCAGGUGCAAGCCUAUUGAAAGAAAGCGUCAAUGAGGGUGAGAUUCCUUUUUGUCAUUUGCAGUCCUCCGUGCACGGUAUAUAUUUGACGAGUCACACUCCUCGGCAUUGGAAUGCAAAGUGGGUGGUAAAUUCCAUGUAAAGGUAAAUAUAUUAUUGAGACUGAUAGCAAACAAGUACCAUGAGGGAAAUAUGAAAAGGACUUUGAAAAGAGAAUUAAAAGAGUCUGCAUUUGCUGAACAGAAAGCAAACAGAAUUGAUUUUACUUGGUGAGAUUGUUGUGCUUACUCUAUCAUUUAUAUGGUUGAUGUGGGUGCGAUGGUUCUUACCUUGAAUGUCAGCUUCUAUUUCUGCAAAUCAUUACCCUUGCACAUGAAUGGUAAUUUGCCUGCGGGUAUUGGAAUGCAUGUGUUUGCAAUGAUUUGUGAUUUGACGCAUGUGUUUGGUGAAAUUUGUAUAUGCUCUUUUGUCGAAGGGGAAAGCUUACUUUUUUGAGCAUUGCAAGCCCUUACACAUCAGUGCUGGCAAAAUGUUUCUGCUUGACCCGUCUUGAAACACGGACCAAGGAGUCUAACAGAUGUGCAAGUUCGUGGGUGGCAAACCUUUUUGCGCAAUGAAAGUAUUGGCUGGGAUACUUGCACCAGCAGCCGACCAAUUAGCAGACAGAGGUUUGAGUUUGAGCAUAUCUAUUAGGACCCGAAAGAUGGUGAACUAUGCCUGAACAGAAUGAAUUCAGAGGAAACUCUGAUGGAGGUUCGUAUCGAUACUGACGUGCAAAUCGUUCGUCAUACUUGGGUAUAGGGGCGAAAGACUAAUCGAACCAUCUAGUAGCUGGUUCCCUCCGAAGUUUCCCUCAGGAUAGCUGGAGUUGCACAGUUUUAUCAGGUAAAGCGAAUGAUUAGAGGAAUUGGGGACACGCUGUCCUUGACCUAUUCUCAAACUUUAAAUGGGUAAGAUGCAAUGGUUGCUUUAUUGAACUUUUGGAAUAAAUGGCAAUAUCAGGUGGGCCAUUUUUGGUAAGCAGAACUGGCGAUGAGGGAUGAACCUAACGUUGGGUUAAGGUGCUUAAUUGCUUGCUCAUUAGAUACCAGAAAGGGUGUUGGUUCAUUUUAACAGCAGGACGGUGGUCAUGGAAGUCGAAAUCCGCUAAGGAGUGUGUAACAACUCACCUGCCGAAUGGACUAGCCCCGAAAAUGGAUGGCGCUCAAGCGGGUGACCGAUACCCAACCACUGUUGCAAAUAGUGUCAGUGUGUAGGAGGGCAUGGCGGUUUGUGAUGCA